CAGAUUCACGUCUGCUCCUCUUAAAUUCAUUAGCUGGAUCUCCGUGAACUCGGUUCCACUCGGCGUGAUAAGUAUCACUCGCUGAGGACACUGUAAAAGGUGGCCGGGGUUGUGGAAGAACCGCUUCCAAUAGUCCAUUGACUUGGACAAUUUAUUUAUGAUCUGAUCUCAAAUCAGGUAGGACUACCCGCUGAACUUAA
rnacentral:misc_RNA from 1 species